AUUAUUAAGUUCCCUCUGUAUGCAGAAUAUUGUGCAACAUGGUUAUGGGUACUACAGUGGAUGUGAGUGUGUAGACCUUGUACAAUAGAGCUUAUAGGCUAAUGAGAAGACAGGAAGAAACAACAGGAACACAUAUAGCUGGAAUGCAGAUGGGAUCUGUGCUACUUACGCUAGCCAUGGGAUGAUUAGAACAAGAUAAGAGACAUGAGGAAGACUUCUUCAAGGAGGUGCUCAAGCCAUGUUUUGGAAAAGAGAACUCAAGGUCUGGCAGGGAGAAAGGAGCAAGGAAGACUGAAGAAACCUAAUCCUAGGUGCUGCCACUGGGACAAACAAGAAGCACCAGACACAGUGCUGUUUUAGGGUGGGGCAGAAUUAUGCUGAGGGAAAAGUUAUUAUCACUCUUUAAGGCCAAGGAAACCACAAUUUUUAAAGAAGCUUCUAGAAAUUCUACCCAGUAGAAAAUAAAGAUAAACUUCUGUAAGGAAUUUCAUUCUUUUCAGAAUUCGCAAUCUGAAAUGUAGAAGCCCAUUCCUUCAUGGUUCUCAUAGAUAUUUAGUGUGACUGAGGGGUCAGUGGACUCAUAGCACUCAGGCCAGGCUUCUCCUGAGUCCCUUUCUUUGGCACAGAGGGAGUGAUUCACAGAUCCUCUACCCCCAAAGGCAUUGUUUCCUCAUCUCAACAAGAAUCCAGCACCCGUCAUUUUAUCAGCACACGUCACUAGCUUCUCAAGUGAGACUACUCUGAAGUGAUCUGUGUUUGAAGAAUGCCUUUCCCUUUCCCUUACGUAACUAAGAGGAUGAAAAAGGACACUCACUCCCUAUAUGAAAGCUGUGUAUUGUAAGCAGUCAUCUUGCCUGGCUGAGAACUCUAGGAUCUUUUUCUCUGCUCUCCUUUAGGCUGACACUCAUAGCCAGACCUUCUGUUUAUUAGCCCCCUGAAUCUAUUUGAAAAUAUUUUUGCUUUCAUUAUAAUAUAAGUCACAUUCUUCUUGCAUCUGCCGCUGCAUUUUCCAAAAGGGUUAUGUCAAGGGAAAUUCAACACUCACUUUUCUCAUUAUUUGCUUACCAGCUUGCUCACUCAUCAAAAUACCAGAGUUAUUUGAUACUUCAGAAGAUUAUUUCCCCCUUUAGAUGAUGUGUCAAGGGAAGGGGAGCUGGCCCCAGUAUCAGGUGACAGAAUUUUCUUCGCAUUUCUACUGUUGACUCAAUAAAUGCCCUUGGGCAAGUCAU
rnacentral:lncRNA from 1 species